GAGCCUGCGUUUCAUUAGCUACCCUUUUGGGGUAAAGGCCUACCAAGGCGACGAUCAGUAGCCGNCCUGAGAGGGUGGACGGCCACACUGGGACUGAGACACGGCCCAGACUCCUACGGGAGGCAGCAGUGGGGAAUAUUGCGCAAUGGGGGAAACCCUGACGCAGCGACGCCGCGUGAGCGAAGAANGCCUUAGGGUCGUAAAGCUCUGUUCUAAGGGNACGAAGUCCUUCCGGGGGUAAUAUAUCGGAAGGGUGACGGUACCUUAAGAGAAAGCCCCGGCUAACUACGUGCCAGCAGCCGCGGUAAGACGUAGGGGGCGAGCGUUGUCCGGAAUUACUGGGCGUAAAGAGCACGUAGGCGGAUAUUUAAGUCAGGUGUGAAAGACCGCAGCCUAACUGCGGGGUUGCACUUGAAACUGGAUAUCUUGAGGGCAGGAGAGGUCAGUAGAAUUCCUGGUGUAGCGGUGAAAUGCGUAGAAAUCAGGAGGAAUACCAGUGG
rnacentral:rRNA from 1 species